CUUUGCCAAAAGUUACAUGGAAGGAUAUAAAACUAUUAUAGUUUUAAAGUCUUCCGGUCAGUUGGCUGAAAAUUAUCUGUAACAUUUAAUAUCUGACUCUGUUUGGAAAGAAAUAUAGCCAACCACCUUUUUAAACCUCUUUUCGGUGUUUUGGGAAACACAAAGUUGGGAUCUUUUCAAUCAUUUGCAAAAUAAAACAGUAUUUUUGAAGGCAUUGAUUUAUAUUUGAUUUCAGGCAUUGAAUUGUUUUAUUAUUGAGACUGUCUCUGAACUCUGAGAAAUUCCAAGGGAAAGAAUUAAAAAUCUUCAAUUCAGCCUGGCCUAAAUCUACUAUUUUCAACCAAUUUUUUUUUUCUGCUGUGCUUUCUUGCAUAUUUUCUGAAUGGAUAGAUAGGACAAUGAUACAGCAGAAAUAAUGAAUGUUUGUCUGCCACUUCCAUUAAAUAUGUCAAUGCUUUUAUGAAAGGUAAUCUAUGGUUACUGAAGCCAAUGCCUGUACUUACUGCUCAGUCAUAACCAUUCUCAUACCUGGAAUCUAAAGAGGUGGCAUCAGUAAUCUGUACACACUGAGUACAUAAUAUUGCUCAGUGGAAAGAGAAAUGCUGCUGUAUAUUACUCUACAUUUUUCAUAGUCUUUAUAAUGUUUUAUAUCUAAAUGUAUUAUUAUGUAGUUUCACUGAUCAGUAAGAGAGCUAGAUCAUGUAGGCCUUAUAAGAACGUUGGCUUUUACUCAAAGGGGAUGAGAAACUAUCGGGGGAUUUUGAGUAGGGAUGCCAUCAUCUGGCCUUUGUUUUUAACAGAACAAGUCUGGCUGCUGUUAUGAGUGUAGAUCAAAGGAUGGAUGGAUAGAAAUGAGGAGAUGAAAUAGGAAGCAGAGCAAUAAUUUUGAUGGCAGAUCAUAGUGCCUUUGUAUAGGGUAAUAGAAUAUGCUAGAGCCUAGAAUACAAGCAUCAAGCUGUUAUGAGCUUGGCAUUUUUACCACUGUAUCCCCAGGGUGUGGAAUCAUUUCUGGAGUACAGCAGGAGCUCAGUAAUUCUUGCUGCAUGCAGGAAUGGAUGGAUAGAUUGACAGUUUUUCACACUUCUGUCUUCUCCCCAUCUGUUUGUUACUUAAGUUUUAACAUCUAAGCUAUUUUCCUCAUCCUCACAGUUUUUAAACUAAAGCAAAAGUGAAACAAAAGCAAAACAGCCAAGUUUCUUCUAAAUUUAAUUGAAUUCAACGAGUCUUUUUGUAAAGCACUUUUAUGUGGUUUCUUUGGGCUAUUAAGGACAUCAAAUGCCAACAGAAUGUUCUAAGACUGUGAGAUGAGAUUGUUGCUUAGGGUCACAGCUAUGCCACAGCACCAGAAUUUACUUUAAAAUUAAAAUUGCUACAUAGUUUUAAUUUCCUCCUCAGAAGGGCAAUAACCUUUCAAUGAAUCAGACUCGGCUUUUUCUGCUUACUAUAAAUGGAACCAUGUGACCAUUACAUUACAAAGGGCAUAAACGGCAGGCUAUAUUAGAAAAGUUUGGGGACAAGGAGCACAGGAAUGUAUUUGGCACACAACUUUUUUGUGUGAUAAAGAAGAGAAAUAAGAAGACAUGCAAACAGUUGUAUUGAUAUACAUAAAGAAACACUGAAUACAUACAGAAGCAACUAAAAAGGCUGAUUGCAAGGCUCAGAAGAUGAAUUGGAUAGACAGGGCAAAAUGUUUAAUAGGGGAUUGUUUUAUAUCAUUUUGAUGAUCAUGUAAAUUAUUACCUAUUUAAUUAGUACAUAAAUAAAUAAAAAUGGCAUCUUUUAAAUAGCUGUGGAGGGCAAGGGGGUGGGGACAGUAGGGAGGAAGGGCCUAGGGAAACUUGAAGUGAAGCAAGUGUUCGUUUUGCCACUUUUCCAGCCCUCAUCAACUGCAUUUGGAGAUGAAACUUCUCAGAUGAAGUGUAUAUGUGUUAAUAUUAGUAAAUAAUAACCAAUCACAUUUUUUCAUCUUUUUUUCUUAAGGAAUAAAGAAGCCUAUAUUCAUAAGAAUGCUGAUUCUUAAAGGGCUAGAAAGGCCAGUUGAAGAAGGCCAGUCUGUAGAGAUGCCUGGGAAUUCUUUGAUCUUUUUGGAGGCUAAAGGAAGUAAAAUUCUGCUAUGGAAAUUGUCCUAUUAUAUUUCUGCUUUCAAGAAGUGGCUACAAGAUUAUGAGGUUUUGCAAUGUUGCCCUCCUAGUCCUGUGUACAUUGCUGUAAAGACUCCCAGGCAUGGAGGCCAUCACUGGCACUGUUCCUCUCAGCAGUUAUUUGGGUGUGAAGUUCCUCACUCCUGCAAGACUCAGCCUGAAGGAGCAUGUCUACAUGACCCACCUGCACAAUCUCCCCACUUGUCAGUAACAGCUGUGAAAUCUGCCCCUGUUGUCUUUAGAAACUGAAAGAUGGAAAAGAUCUCAGAUGCUGUGACCCCCAUGUAACAGAUGGAGGAAUUGAAUCCAAGAGAUGAAGUGACCACUUUGCCUAAAAUCAAAUAGCCAUGUAGCAGCCGAGCUAAAACAAACAUUCAGUCCUCCUGAAUCCUAACUCAGUGAUUUUCUCUUAAUAUCAUAUAAUAACAUCCAUUGUUUUCCUGAGUCUCCCCUAUCAUUUUACUAUUCUUCUUGAUCCAUUCAUAUUAGUUUUUUUUUCUUUUUUGGAUUAAAGGUGACCUUAAUCAAAAUUUGAUAUUUACAUAAGUAUGAUAUAAAAUAACUUAUAUCUAUAUUUAAUAAUUUCUUAUUUUAGUUGAUGCUUUCAAAAACUGCCAGAAAACAGAUUUUUUUGCCACAAGCAGUUACAGUUUCAUCUUCAUAUUCCCUCUCUUAACAUGCUGAAAAAUUAAGCAUACAUAGAAAUGCUAAUUAGAGUUGUCUUCCUUGUCAAUGCUGUGAUUUAUAUUUGACCUGUUUCCUAUCAGAUUUGCCACAAGCUAGAAUCUUCUGAGGAUUUCUGCUUCAUAUAUAUUCUCUACCAUUCGGCAGACACUAAUAAAGAGUGUCAAAAUCCUGGCAA